UACGGAGGGGGCGAGCGUUGUUCGGAAUUACUGGGCGUAAAGGGUGCGUAGGCGGCCUUUCAAGUCGGAUGUGAAAUCCCCCGGCUCAACCGGGGAAUUGCGUCCGAUACUGUUGGGCUUGAGUACAGGAUGAGAGAGCGGAAUUCCCAGUGUAGCGGUGAAAUGCGUAGAUAUUGGGAGGAACACCGGUGGCGAAAGCGGCUCUCUGGCCUGAUACUGACGCUGAGGCACGAAAGCUAGGGUAGCAAACGGGAUUAGAUACCCGCGUA
rnacentral:rRNA from 1 species